rnacentral:lncRNA from 1 species
UGGUUUUUACAUGCUUAGUGAACUGUGAAUUUGUCUGUUUUUGCCUUUGUCAGUCACUGAUUUUGCAGCAUUUGUCCAAUCCCACUUCAGAGGAAGUUUUUCUGUGGUGGGGAAAGCAGCAUUCAGCCACAUUCACUGCUCUCUGCCAAAUGUGUCAGAAGAAACAAGGAUGCUUUUCAUUCUCUGAGAUUAUGCCUACACUAGCAGGACUGGACGUGAUUCUGAGAUUUUGGCUAUAAUCUGGAACAAACUCUGUUUACACCAUACUGAGGCUACUGAGGCAUGACCUGAGCAUGCAUCACCCUUCGUUCGUGAUCUGUUCUGUAUCACAGAAUUACAUAAUAACCAAGGUUGGAAAAGACGUACAGGAUCAUCCAGCGCAAACAUCUAAUACUGAAAAGAAAUGUGGCUUCUGCAGCCAAAGAGAAACCAAACAGAGGAUGAAGAUUCCAAUUUGUGACUGAGAAGACUCCAGUUUUACUGAACAUGGAGGGAUAUUCACGUUGAAGAUUCAUGUUCCACUGUUUUUUGACACACUCUCCCUCCUCGUUCUCUGCUAACCCAGGAAUCAGCUUGAAACGGCCUCAAAAAGCCAGCCUGCCUGCAUGUCUAUGCAGAGGUUGGACAGACCUCACUGGAAAGACAUGGUGUCUUUCUCUACAAGAAAGACAAAUUUUAAACUUUUAUAUACUGGGAAAUUCCAAACUCAAGAUUUUUUCCCAAGAACAACAUGAUGAAGAAAAUUCAUCCCAGAUAUCUUCCAUGCUUUGAGGAGCUUGAAUGCUGCUAAUCGACUGUCAAAGCAC